UUUUCACCAAAAUUGUUUCACAUUCCCUUCUUAAUUUCAUCACCUCACUACUCAAAUUCUUUCAUAUUUGUGCGCCUUCUACUUCCCUCCCCAAAUCCAAACAUAUUUCUUGAUGUGGUUCGAUUGAUUCUUAUCUAAUGACCGGUGAUUAUUGUUGUUAUUUGUUAAUUUUUGUCUAAUGUGCAUAGGUAUAUAUGACAUAUCAACUUCGCUGCUUAGAUGGAUGGUUUGUAACUUAGCGAAAGUGGAGAGACAACAUGAAGAUUGAAAAGCUUUUCAUGUUUUUUGCUGCUGGAGUUUUUAAGAUAGACAACAAACGUUGCAGGGUACUUUAACUUCAAAUUGUUCUACAAAUUACAAUCCCACUGCUUUAUUUCAAGGUACCUUUAUCAAUAACUUUGAGACUUAGAAAUUACAGACUUUAAAGGGGCUAUUUUUCACCAUAAAUAUCGAUUGCAUGUAUAAAUUCCUUAUAGCUUUUGAGUUGAAAAGUAUACAUGCUUGAAUAUAAUGAUGUUUUUUGUGUAAAUUUGUGAUUAUAGGGUUGAAGUGAGUGAAAUUUACAUUUCGACUUUGUAUUACUAAUAUUUAAUAUAUGUGUAUCAACUGUUUGAUGAAAUGCCAGGUUGUGUCAAGACUUUCAUGAAUUUAUAAUGCAAAGUACAUAUGCACUUAUAUAGGUAAUUAGGUCUUGUUAGAACUUUUAUGAUUGGUGCUUAAUAGCAUAUUCAUGUCGACAUGAGUAUGCUAAUUUUUAUUUUUUUCAUUCUCGUAAGUUGAGAGUUUGAAGUUAACCAAGUGACUCAGAUGAUUCAGAUCUCAAAAGGGCUAGUUUCUGACCUUUUUUUAAAUUAUUUGGUUCCUUUAUAUUAUAGUAUAGUUAAUACAUAUAUAAUCAUAUUUACUAUUAUUUAGUAUGUUAACUGUUGAUAUAACUCAAAAUAUGGAUGAAGAAGUUUUGGACACACACCUCUGAUAAUUUAACAACUUGUGAGAUUGAGAGAAAGUCAAACAAACACAAAUCUUUGAAUAGCUAAAAAAUGGUGAGCCUAGUUAGUAGGUUUUAGAAGGCUGUUCAAUUUAUAUUUACCCAAGGGUCAUGUUCUUCAUUUUACUAACUUAAAAACAUAAAUAAAAAGGAGAUCACGAAGCAGAUUACUAGUAUUAAUUUAUUUUUUUAGUGAUUAGGCUAUAUUAUAUUUCUUGUAUAUUGUUGCUACCGUAUACAAAAAUUAUAUAUUUUUUGUAUCUUUUUUUGGCUUGUAUACUAUAAAAGCAGGUUACAACUUGGAUUGGAUUUGGGCAUGUACUGUUUAAUUCAGGUAUUGUAUGAACUGAAGACCAAUACCUGGAUUAAUUGAAGACCAAUGACCAAUUGGUUUAGACUUAAAGUUAAGCGAGUCUCGUAUUGGUUACAAAAUUAUGCCAUGAUUGAGAGAUCUGAAGAGAACAUGAGGUUAUAAGCUCAAGUGCCAAGUUAGAAUAUGGGUUCAUAUAUGUUUAAUAUAUUGUAUUGAUUUUGGAUAAUUUAGUUCUUUAUUGUGUUAUAUUUGGAUAAGUUGGAAGUUGGAUAUUUCAGUCUAUUUUGUUUGGAUAUUUAUCUUUAGUAGAAUUUAUAUGUGUUGU
rnacentral:lncRNA from 1 species